rnacentral:rRNA from 1 species
CCUACGGGAGGCAGCAGUGGGGAAUAUUGGGCAAUGGAGGAAACUCUGACCCAGCAACGCCGCGUGAAUGAUGAAGGUCUUCGGAUUGUAAAGUUCUUUUCUAAGGGAAGAAGAAAGUGACGGUACCUUAGGAAUAAGCCUCGGCUAACUACGUGCCAGCAGCCGCGGUAAUACGUAGGAGGCGAGCGUUAUCCGGAAUGACUGGGCGUAAAGGGUGAGUAGGUGGUUUGGCAAGUUAGUAGCGUAAAUCCAGGGCUCAACCUUGGAACUACUACUAAAACUGGUGGACGUGAGUGCAGGAGGGGCAGCCGGAAUUCCUAGUGUAGCGGUGGAAUGCGUAGAUAUUAGGAGGAACACCAGUGGCGAAGGCGGGUUGCUAGACUGUAACUGACACUGAGGCACGAAAGCGUGGGGAGCAAACAGGAUUAGAUACCCUGGUAGUC